GUGGGGAAUUUUGGACAAUGGGCGCAAGCCUGAUCCAGCAAUGCCGCGUGCAGGAAGAAGGCCUUCGGGUUGUAAACUGCUUUUGUACGGAACGAAACGGUCCUGGUUAAUACCUGGGGCUAAUGACGGUACCGUAAGAAUAAGCACCGGCUAACUACGUGCCAGCAGCCGCGGUAAUACGUAGGGUGCGAGCGUUAAUCGGAAUUACUGGGCGUAAAGCGUGCGCAGGCGGUGCUGUAAGACAGGCGUGGAAUCCCCGGGCUCAACCUGGGAAUUGCGCUUGUGACUGCAGUGCUGGAGUACGGCAGAGGGGGAUGGAAUUCCGCGUGUAGCAGUGAAAUGCGUAGAUAUGCGGAGGAACACCGAUGGCGAAGGCAGUCCCCUGGGCCUGUACUGACGCUCAUGCACGAAAGCGUGGGGAGCAAACAGGAUUAGAUACCCUGGUAGUCC
rnacentral:rRNA from 1 species